CUAGCAGUAAACGGUGCACGCUUGGUGUGAGGGGAAUCGACCUCCCUUGUGCCGGAGCUAACGCGUUAAGCGUGCCGCCUGGGAAGUACGGUCGCAAGACUAAAACUCAAAGAAAUUGACGGGGACCCGCACAAGCGGUGGAGUAUGUGGCUUAAUUCGAUGCAACGCGAAGAACCUUACCAAGGCUUGACAUGCAUCUCUAAACACGUGAGAGCGUGUGACCCUUCGGGGAAUUUGCACAGGUGCUGCAUGGCCGUCGUCAGCUCGUGUCGUGAGAUGUUGGGUUAAGUCCCGCAACGAGCGCAACCCUUGUGACUAGUUGCCAGCACGUAAUGGUGGGAACUCUAGUCAGACUGCCCAGAUCAACUGG
rnacentral:rRNA from 1 species